AGCGAACGCUGGCGGCAGGCCUAACACAUGCAAGUCGAACGAACUCUUCGGAGUUAGUGGCGGACGGGUGAGUAACACGUGGGAACGUGCCUUUAGGUUCGGAAUAACUCAGGGAAACUUGUGCUAAUACCGAAUGUGCCCUUCGGGGGAAAGAUUUAUCGCCUUUAGAGCGGCCCGCGUCUGAUUAGCUAGUUGGUGAGGUAAAGGCUCACCAAGGCGACGAUCAGUAGCUGGUCUGAGAGGAUGAUCAGCCACAUUGGGACUGAGACACGGCCCAAACUCUGGCGGGGUGCGUAAGGGGGGACUCUAGCGCACGGCACGCAACACUGCCGCCGCCAGGAGGUGUAAAGAAUAAAGGUCGUAGUAUUCUAACACCCCUUCCGCGGGGACUAUAAGGACGGUCCCCGGAGAAGAGGCCCCGCCUACCUCCGUCCCCGCGCCCGCGAUAAGAAACAGACGUCUGAAC
rnacentral:rRNA from 1 species